rnacentral:rRNA from 1 species
GACAGAGGAUGCAAGCGUUAUCCGGAAUGAUUGGGCGUAAAGCGUCUAUAGGUGGCUUUUCAAGUCCGCCGUCAAAUCCCAGGGCUCAACUCUGGACAGGCGGUGGAAACUACCAAGCUGGAGUACGGUAGGGGCAGAGGGAAUUUCCGGUGGAGCGGUGAAAUGCGUAGAGAUCGGAAAGAACACCAACGGCGAAAGCGCUCUGCUGGGCCGACACUGACACUGAGAGACGAAAGCUAGGGGAGCGAAUGGG